rnacentral:rRNA from 1 species
CGUAAAGGGAGCGUAGGUGGCUCUAUAAGUCAGAUGUGAAAUCCCCGGGCUUAACCUGGGAACUGCAUCUGAAACUGUAGAGCUAGAGUAUGUGAGAGGAAGGUAGAAUUCCAGGUGUAGCGGUGAAAUGCGUAGAGAUCUGGAGGAAUACCGAUGGCGAAGGCAGCCUUCUGGCAUAAUACUGACACUGAGGCUCGAAAGCGUGGGUAGCAAACAGGAUUAGAUACCCUGGUAGUCCACGCCGUAAACGAUGUCUACUAGUCGUUGGGUCCCUUGAGGACUUAGUGACGCAGCUAACGCAAUAAGUAGACCGCCUGGGGAGUACGGCCGCAAGGUUAAAACUCAAAUGAAUUGACGGGGGCCCGCACAAGCGGUGGAGCAUGUGGUUUAAUUCGAUGCAACGCGAAGAACCUUACCUGGUCUUGACAUAUCUAGAAUCCUGCAGAGAUGCGGGAGUGCCUUCGGGAAUUAGAAUACAGGUGCUGCAUGGCUGUCGUCAGCUCGUGUCGUGAGAUGUUGGGUUAAGUCCCGCAACGAGCGCAACCCUUGUCCUUAGUUACCAGCGGGUUAAGCCGGGAACUCUAAGGAUACUGCCAGUGACAAACUGGAGGAAGGCGGGGACGACGUCAAGUCAUCAUGGCCCUUACGACCAGGGCUACACACGUGCUACAAUGGUAGGUACAGAGGGCAGCUACACAGCGAUGUGAUGCGAAUCUCAAAAAGCCUAUCGUAGUCCAGAUUGGAGUCUGCAACUCGACUCCAUGAAGUAGGAAUCGCUAGUAAUCGCGGAUCAGAAUGCCGCGGUGAAUACGUUCCCGGGCCUUGUACACACCGCCCGUCACACCAUGGGAGUUGAUU